rnacentral:tRNA from 1 species
CAGAAUUUAACAUAAGUUAAUGUAUCUCACUUACAUUGAGGGUAUGAUUAGUUUUUAUAAUCAGUUUUGA